UCUCUCUCUCUCUCUCUCUCUCUCUCUACUCUAUGUAGUACUGGUACAUACACACUCUCUCUCCGUGUUGGAGAGGGAACUUAGAGAGAGAAAACGCACCGCACCUCCCACCGUUCUCUCUCGCUCCUCCACCUCCCUUCAAAAAAGGCAACGAGGUGAGCGUGGGUGGUUUCAAUCCCCUCGCGCUCCCGCUUCUGUAGAGAUCUCUCUCAGAUCGAUCGUCCAUGGCGGAGCUCGAAUCCUUCGCACUAAACACGACAAUGUACUACUCUCUCUGAAUCUAUGAAUUGCAUAUAAACCCUAGAUGAGGAAGCUGUAGUUUUGAUUUUUCUUUUUUUUGGGGGGGGUUUGAGAGUGACUGGAGAAUUAAGAAAUGAAUACAUGCGGGAGUGAGAAAGUGAUAGAGUGAUGAGUUGUGAUCUUUCUUUGCUUCGCUUAUCAGUAUUCAAUGAGGUUGAUACUGAUACCUUAACCACUGAUCUGAUCAUACUGGGGGUCCACUAAUCGAUUCCCCAAUGUUGUGAUGUACCGUCCCGCAACGACGUUCGCACUACCCGUAACAGCUACUCACCAACAGUCCCUCCUAUAUGAAUUAUCAUUAAUUCGGUGCCACACAAUGGAGAGGAAUUGAGGGAGAGAGAAAAAAAAAAGAAAUUGUUGUGAGUAGUGAAGGCUAUGCGGACGGUGUAGGAAAGGGAGGAGGAGGGAGAUGGGGACGGUCGGAGGGGAGGAGCUGGCGCGGUGGGAGAAGGCGGAGGGAUUCGAGGCGGCGGCCGGUGUCGAGGGCGGCGGCGGCGGCGGGAAGACGGAGAAGAUAUUGGUGUCGGUGAGGCUGAGGCCGCUGAGCGAGAAGGAGGUCGCGAGGGGCGAGCCUGCCGAUUGGGAGUGCAUCAAUGACACCACCAUCAUUUUCAGGAGCAGCCUCCCGGAACGGCCCUUGCUUCCCUCUGCAUACUCAUUUGACAGGGUAUUCCGUUCUGAUUGCACCACGAAAGAGGUGUAUGAGUGGGGAGCUAAAGAAGUUGCCCUUUCAGUAGUUAGCGGUAUUAAUUCAAGUAUAUUUGCAUACGGACAAACAAGCAGUGGAAAGACGUACACAAUGACUGGAAUAACUGAGUAUACUGUGGCAGAUAUAUAUGAAUACAUACGUAGGCAUGAGGAGAGAGCAUUUGUAUUAAAGUUCGCAGCAAUGGAGAUCUAUAAUGAAGUUGUAAAGGAUCUCCUCAGUACAGACGAUACUCCCCUUAGGCUUUUGGAUGAUCCUGAGAAGGGAACCAUCAUAGAGAAACUUACAGAGGAGACGCUAAGGGACUGGAACCAUCUUAAGGAGCUCAUUUCCGUGUGUGAAGCUCAAAGGAAAGUCGGGGAGACUCUGUUAAAUGAAAAUAGCUCGAGAUCUCAUCAGAUACUUAGAUUGACUAUUGAAAGUUCUGCUCGUGAGUUUUUGGGUAAGGACAAUUCAAGCGCACUUGUGGCCAGUGUGAAUUUUAUUGAUCUUGCUGGGAGUGAGCGUGCAUCUCAGGCACUGUCGGUUGGUGCGAGGCUGAAAGAAGGUUGCCACAUCAAUAGAAGUUUACUUACAUUGGGAACUGUCAUCCGUAAGUUAAGCAAGGGAAGAAAUGGACAUAUACCAUACCGAGAUUCGAAGCUAACACGCAUACUGCAACCUUCAUUAGGAGGUAACGCAAGAACUGCCAUUAUCUGCACUAUGAGUCCCGCACGAUCCCAUAUCGAGCAAUCUAGAAAUACUCUUUUAUUUGCAAGCUGUGCAAAGGAAGUCGUUACCAAUGCUCAAGUUAAUGUAGUGAUGUCUGACAAGGCAUUAGUUAAGCAUUUGCAAAGAGAACUUGCUAGGUUGGAGAGUGAGCUACGAUAUCCCGCGACUUCUCUAAACAUUGAAGUGCUGUUGAAGGCAAAAGAUGGUCAAAUAAGAAAGUUGGAGAAAGAAAUAAAGGAGUUAAUGCAGCAAAGAGAUCUGGCUGAGUCUCGGCUGGAGGAUUUACUAAGAGUUGUUGGGGAUGAACGUGCUUCAAGACGAUGGGAGGCUUCUUCUCAAACACCCGGACUUUUCAUACCAUAUGCAUGUGGAGAUGAGCAUUCGACAACUAGGCCAUCAAAAGUUGCUGCUGGCCGUCUAAAUUGCCCUGCAUAUACUGAAGUCCUACUGCAUAAGAGCGAAAAGGAUAUCAGUCGAAACUCUAUUGAAGGAUCAGAGGACUUCUGCAAGGAAGUGCGCUGUGUCGAGAUAACUGAGGCGGGAAUAAGUGAAUGCUCAAAUUCAUUAUCAACUGAAGUGGGCAGUAGUUUGGUAGGACAAAGUAUGAACCCCGAAAACCAUAGAACAAAAGCUAAAAGGCAGAUUGACUUGAAAUGUCUAAAUAUGACUCCUAUCACACUAGAGCAGCAUUUGGAGAGUGUGAGAAAGGGUCUGAACAAUCUUAUCGGAGCUACACCCGAGGGAUCAUAUCAAUCGUCCUCAAUGAGAGAUUUGUCAAAAUCUCAAGGGUUGACAUUGCAAAGAAGUAAAAGUUGCAGGUCUAUACUAAUGACCUCUCCUGAUUGGUUCCAAGAGCUGGAGCAGAAUAAUUGCACGCCACCGACUAGAUGUCUAAAGGACUUCCCUGGAAGACCUGAAGGGCUUCAAAGAAGGCCUUUGGCAUUGAAUUAUGAUGCUGAAAGUGAAGUACUUUCAGUAGAAGAAUCUCUUAUUUCCGAACAAAGCACUUCUAUCAACAACACGAAAGGGAGUAAGAAUGCUUCUGAGGCAAAUUUUACUACCAUCAGUGAAUUUGCCACAGAGCUGAAGGAGAUGGCUCAGGUUCAGUAUCGGAAUCUACUCGAUGUUGGUCAGAACAUUGAUGAAGAAUUUGGACCUGAAGGUUCUGCUAAGAACAUAGUUCUGGAUCCAGUGCUACACCCUACGCAAUCUCCUUCUAGAUGGCCAUUAGAAUUCGAAAGAAAGCAGCAAGAAAUCGUUGAGCUCUGGCAUGCAUGCAAUGUCUCUUUAGUCCACAGAACUUACUUUUUCCUGCUUUUCAAAGGUGAUCCUACAGACUCGAUUUACAUGGAAGUGGAGCUGAGGCGGUUAUCCUUUUUGAUAAGUACUCACUCUAGGGGAAGCUUGGAUAAAACCCAAGCAUUUGGUGGUUCAAAUACUGUUCUUGCAUUAAGCAUGAAAAAGCUUCGGCAUGAAAGGGUGAUGCUAACUCGGCAGAUGCAGAAGAGACUAACACCACGAGAAAGGGAGAGCAUAUACACGAAGUGGGGAAUUUCACUGCACUCCAAGCAGAGGAGGCUACAGCUGGCCCAACGACUGUGGACUGAGACCAAGGACCUCGAACAUAUCCGAGAAAGCGCUUCUCUCGUUGCAAGACUAGUUGGGCUCUUAGAGCCCGGAAAGGCCCUAAAGGAGAUGUUCGGACUUAGCUUCACACCUCAACAAUCUAAUCGCAGAUCCUUUAUUUGGAAACAUGGUAUCUCUUCACUCAAUUAAGCAAAUUGGAAGCUUCGUUUUGCCAACCGAACUUUAUAUUUGAUGAAAAGGUAUUGAUAAUAGUUUCCUGGGCCAACUAAACAGCAAGGAGAUAGAAAUCAACCGAAGAAAGAGGAUCCGGCCGAAACAAGUGAAAUGAAAAGAGAUCCGAGCGAAUGGAAAGGAGAACCUAAAGGAGAAAUCGUCUUUUUCGCUUUGGUUAACCCUUCAUACCAAGAUUCUUAUUUUGAUCGGUAUCGAGAUAAUUGCGUUGGGAGACUUAAAAGAAGUGAUCACCCUGGUUUGAAAAAGUUUUUGUUGCUUUACUUUUUGACUCUGACUAUAGAAUAGCACAUUGCGAUGUGUAAAAAUAUUCAGCUUUUAAUUUAUUUUUGAGUGUUUGCUAA